rnacentral:lncRNA from 1 species
ACCGCACCGCAACAGUAAUUACUCUGUGCGUAGCAGCGUCAGAAGGAGAAGAAGAAGAAGAAGAAGAAGAAGAAGAAGAAGAAGAAGAAGAAGAAGAAGGUUUGGGAUGGAAAGAGUAGGGAGGUGGUUAAAUGAGUAUGUGUUCCAUAACCCAUUCUUGCAUUUCUGUGAGCAACUCCUCAACUCCUUCUUCAACUCUUUUCCUUUUCAUCAUCCCCAUCAUCUUCAUCAAGAAGAAGAAGAAGAAGGAGGAGGAGGAGGAGAAGGUGUCACUGCAGCAGCAGUAGAUCCUCCCCAACCAGAAACAGGAUUAGUACGUGACAUUUAAUUUAUAACUAAUCUCUUAACUACUUCCUUCCUUUCUUCUUUCUUGAUCAUCUCAUAAUACUGACUAUUACUUGCAGCAGGAGGAGGAGCCCACACAAUCAGCAUCACUAGCAGUGACGACCUCCCUUCGGGCAACAACACUUCCUCCUAGACCUCCGGUCAGCUCCGGCGGUGGCGCCCAAAUUAAUUAAUUAAUCCCGCUUUACUUACCAUACUACUACAUUAGUUAUUUUCCUAACUGCCAUCUCCAUGUAACUACAAUACGGUUUUGUUGUUUCGUUACCUUUCUGUGCAUCCUUAACUCAAGAGUAUGUUUGUUCGAGCUUUACUAGGUUUAAGUUUAGCUCGUUGUUGAGUGAUAAAUUAAAUAUCUUAUUGAGUUCUAGUUUAUUAAUUAUUAUUGGGGACUCAAUUUUAGACUCAACUCC